rnacentral:lncRNA from 1 species
AAAUGUAAUUGCUCUAAAAGAAGGGCCAUGAAACUGAUUAAAUAACUGAGAUAAUGCUUGGCAAUACUGUUUACCAUGUCAAGCAAGAGCAGGAUCAAGAUAAAGAAAAGAAUUUGUCCAGAAAGGAACCUCUCUAUAAGAGAAAGUAGGGGCAUUAUGGGAAAUUCACUCCAUCUAAUUAAUAAAAGUCCCAUCCCACCAUCUCCCCUUCAAGUGAGUACCCAAGCAACAACUGCAACAUCACAGCAUAGCAGCCAUUCAACCCCCUCCCUCCUUC